rnacentral:rRNA from 1 species
GAUGAACGCUGGCGGCGUGCCUAAUACAUGCAAGUCGAGCGAACAGACGAGGAGCUUGCUCCUCUGACGUUAGCGGCGGACGGGUGAGUAACACGUGGAUAACCUACCUAUAAGACUGGGAUAACUUCGGGAAACCGGAGCUAAUACCGGAUAAUAUAUUGAACCGCAUGGUUCAAUAGUGAAAGACGGUUUUGCUGUCACUUAUAGAUGGAUCCGCGCCGCAUUAGCUAGUUGGUAAGGUAACGGCUUACCAAGGCAACGAUGCGUAGCCGACCUGAGAGGGUGAGCGGCCACACGGAAACAGAGACACGGUCCAGACUCCUACGGGAGGCAGCAGUGGGGAGUCUUCCAGAAAGGGCGAAGGCUGGAAGGAGCAACGCAGCGGGGGUGAUGAAGGUCUUCGGAUCGUAAAACUCUGUUAUUAGGGAAGAAAAAAAGUGUAAGAAACUAUGCACGUCUAGACGGUACCUAAACAGAAGGCCACGGCAACCUACGUG